GACGAACGUUGGCGGCGUGCUUAAUACAUGCAAGUCAACUGAAGCAGUGGUAGCAAUAUCGCUGUGUAGGUGGCGCACGGGUGAGUAACACGUAGGUAAUCUGCCUUCAGGUCUGGCAUAACUCCGGGAAACCGGGGCUAAUAGCAGAUGAUGCAGCGGCUCGACAUCGAGACAGUUGUUAAAGCUAUGGCGCCUGAAGAUGAGCCUGCGUCUGAUUAGCUAGUUGGCGGGGUAACGGCCCACCAAGGCAACGAUCAGUAGCUGGUCUGAGAGGAUGAUCAGCCAGACUGGAACUGAGACACGGUCCAGACUCCUACGGGAGGCAGCAGUAAGGAAUAUUGCUCAAUGGGAGAAAUCCUGAAGCAGCAACGCCGCGUGAGGGACGAAGGGCUUUUGCUUGUAAACCUCUGUAGUGAGAGAAAAAAAUCCCAAUCUUUGGGACAUGAUGGUAUCUCAAAAGUAAGCCCCGGCUAACUACGUG
rnacentral:rRNA from 1 species